rnacentral:rRNA from 1 species
AACGAACGCUGGCGGCGCGCCUAAUACAUGCAAGUCGAGCGAGAAGACGUAGCAAUACGUUUGUAAAGCGGCGAACGGGUGAGGAAUACAUGGGUAACCUACCCUCGAGUGGGGAAUAACUAGCCGAAAGGUUAGCUAAUACCGCGUACGCUCCUUGGACUUCGGUUCAGGGAGGAAAGCGAUACCGUGGGUAUCGCGCUCUUGGAUGGGCUCAUGUCCUAUCAGCUUGUUGGUGAGGUAACGGCUCACCAAGGCUUCGACGGGUAGCUGGUCUGAGAGGACGAUCAGCCACACUGGCACUGCGACACGGGCCAGACUCCUACGGGAGGCAGCAGUGGGGAAUCUUGCGCAAUGGGCGAAAGCCUGACGCAGCAACGCCGCGUGCGGGACGACGGCCCUCGGGUUGUAAACCGCUUUCAGCAGGACGAUGAUGACGGUACCUGCAGAAGAAGCUCCGGCCAACUACGUGCCAGCAGCCGCAGUAAC